rnacentral:other from 1 species
UCAACAUAUUGAUUUAUAAGCAUGGAAAUCCCCUGAGUGAAACAACGAAUUGCUGUGUGUAGUCUUUGCCCAUCUCCCACGAUGGGCUUUUUUUUAA